GAGAUCAUCAACAACACCAGCCUGCAAACCGUAGCCUGUGACUCUGCACAAAAGGAAGACGAUGUUAACAGCAGACGAACAAUUGCUCUGCAGGCACUUCCCAUCUUCCUGCGUGAAGAUGCUGCUGGAUUUUUUAAGACCUGGAAUGCAGAAGACAUUGACCUGCCAGACCUCUCGGAUACAACUGUAGCUGUUCUC